rnacentral:rRNA from 1 species
ACGCCCCGCAAGGGGAGUGGCAGACGGGUGAGUAACGCGUGGGAACAUACCCUUUCCUGCGGAAUAGCUCCGGGAAACUGGAAUUAAUACCGCAUACGCCCUACGGGGGAAAGAUUUAUCGGGGAAGGAUUGGCCCGCGUUGGAUUAGCUAGUUGGUGGGGUAAAGGCCUACCAAGGCGACGAUCCAUAGCUGGUCUGAGAGGAUGAUCAGCCACAUUGGGACUGAGACACGGCCCAAACUCCUACGGGAGGCAGCAGUGGGGAAUAUUGGACAAUGGGCGCAAGCCUGAUCCAGCCAUGCCGCGUGAGUGAUGAAGGCCUUAAGGUUGUAAAGCUCUUUCACCGAUGAAGAUAAUGACGGUAGUCGGAGAAGAAGCCCCGGCUAACUUCGUGCCAGCAGCCGCGGUAAUACGAAGGGGGCUAGCGUUGUUCGGAAUUACUGGGCGUAAAGCGCACGUAGGCGGAUAUUUAAGUCAGGGGUGAAAUCCCGCAGCUCAACUGCGGAACUGCCUUUGAUACUGGGUAUCUUGAGUAUGGAAGAGUAAGUGGAAUUCCGAGUGUAGAGGUGAAAUUCGUAGAUAUUCGGAGGAACACCAGUGGCG